rnacentral:rRNA from 1 species
CCUACGGGUGGCAGCAGUGGGGGAUAUUGCACAAUGGGGGAAACCCUGAUGCAGCGACGCCGCGUGGGUGAAGAAGUAUUUCGGUAUGUAAAGCCCUAUCAGCAGGGAAGAAAGAAGACGGUACCUGACUAAGAAGCCCCGGCUAACUACGUGCCAGCAGCCGCGGUAAUACGUAGGGGGCGAGCGUUAUCCGGAUUCACUGGGGGUAAAGGGAGCGUAGACGGCCGUGCAAGCCAGGAGUGAAAGCCCGGGGCCCAACCCCGGGACUGCUCGUGGAAAUGUGCGGCUGGAGUGCGGGAGGGGCAGGCGGAAUUCCUGGUGUAGCGGUGAAAUGCGUAGAUAUCAGGAGGAACACCGGCGGCGAAGGCGGCCUGCUGGACCGCGACUGACGUUGAGGCUCGAAAGCGUGGGGAGCGAACAGGAUUAGAUACCCGAGUAGUC